rnacentral:rRNA from 1 species
UACGUAGGGGGCGAGCGUUGUCCGGAAUCAUUGGGCGUAAAGCGCGUGUAGGCGGCUCGGUAAGUCCGGUGUGAAACCUUGGGGCUCAACCCCAAGCCUGCACUGGAUACUGUCGAGCUCGAGUCCGGGAGGGGAGAGCGGAAUUCCUAGUGUAGCGGUGAAAUGCGCAGAUAUCAGGAGGAACACCAAUGGCGAAGGCAACACUCUGGGACGUGACUGACGCUGAGACGCGAAAGCGUGGGGAGCAAACAGG